rnacentral:rRNA from 1 species
UACGUAGGGGGCAAGCGUUGUCCGGAGUUAUUGGGCGUAAAGAGCGUGUAGGCGGUCAGGUAGGUCCGUUGUGAAAACUCGAGGCUCAACCUCGAGACGCCGAUGGAAACCAUCUGACUAGAGUCCGGAAGAGGAGAGUGGAAUUCCUGGUGUAGCGGUGAAAUGCGCAGAUAUCAGGAGGAACACCGGUGGCGAAGGCGGUUCUCUGGGAAUAUCCUGACGCUGAGGAGCGAAAGUGUGGGGAGCGAACAGG